AUUAUGUAAUUAUGAACAUAUUCAUACUAUUACAGCUAAUGCCCCAUUAUAUGGCCUUGCUAUUUAAUCGAAUGGUUAAAUGGUUGCCAAAACCGGAUUACUCUGGUACAAUGUCGGGGCGCAAGAUCACUUGCAGACGACUUGAUUACUGGUCAAGGUGUUGUAAGCAGUAGAGCAGCCUCCAUACUGCGAUCUGUUGAGACUUAUCCUUUGAUUGGACGAUUUGU
rnacentral:ncRNA from 1 species